AGGGUUCGAUUCUGGCUCAGGAUGAACGCUAGCGGCAGGCUUAACACAUGCAAGUCGAGGGGCAGCGGGAUGUAGCAAUACAUUGCCGGCGACCGGCGGAUGGGUGCGUAACGCGUAUGCAACCUACCUUAUACAGGGGAAUAACCUUUCGAAAGGGAGACUAACACCCCAUGGUAUUGAUUUAAGGCAUCUUAGAUUAAUUAAAUAUUUAUAGGUAUAAGAUGGGCAUGCGUAUGAUUAGCUAGUUGGUAAGGUAACGGCUUACCAAGGCGACGAUCAUUAGGGGUUCUGAGAGGAAGGUCCCCCACACUGGUACUGAGACACGGACCAGACUCCUACGGGAGGCAGCAGUGAGGAAUAUUGGUCAAUGGGCGCAAGCCUGAACCAGCCAUGCCGCGUGCAGGAAAGACGGCCUUAUGGGUUGUAAACUGCUUUUACAUAAGACUAACCGUAUAUUUGCGAAUAUACCUGAAUGUAUUAUGAGAAUAAGGAUCGGCUAACUCCGUGCCAGCCGCAGC
rnacentral:rRNA from 1 species